ACGCUCGACACCUACGGGAGACAGCAGUGGGGAAUAUUGCACAAUGGGGGAAACCCUGAUGCAGCGACGCCGCGUGGAGGAAGAAGGUCUUCGGAUUGUAAACUCCUGUUGUUGAGGACGAUAAUGACGGUACUCAACAAGGAAGUGACGGCUAACUACGUGCCAACAGCCGCGGUAAUCUGAGCGGGCUGGCAAGGC
rnacentral:rRNA from 1 species